GGGGCUCCCGGACCCGGGAUGGGGGGUGGGCUGGGUGUGGGGGCAGAGGAUCUGGCUCUUGGAUAGCCUCCUUCAUCGCAUCUACACUGGUUUUGGAGGCUGCAGAGCUGACCUUCCUGUUAGUGUAGCCCGGAGCCAAGAGUGAAGACUCCUUGCACUCUACUGGCCCUUUUAUGAAGGCGAAGGUAAUGGUGAGGACAGGCUGGAGAGAGGAGAGACUAGCCACCGUUCUCCCCGUCCGGGUUCUGCCAGGUCCUCUAUGAAAUUAACAUUUAGAGUGAUAACCAGGAGGAUUCAUUUUGUUAAUGGAGCACUUGAGGACUGGUUCAAGGUCACAUACCAAGUCCAGCAGAGUACUGGUGUUAAGAGCUUCACGGUUUUACAUCAACCUCUGAGUUAUUUGUACCCCUGCCAUGUAUGAAUAACUUGAUUUCCUUCUCUCUGGAAAAGCUAGAAGAACACAAGUGAUAUAAUAAAAUUAAUUACCAAA